rnacentral:lncRNA from 1 species
CAGGUGAUGUUGAAGGUGAUGUCUGUGUUGAGCAGACCGAGGGGGAAAAGGAGCACAAACGCAUGUGUAUUUAAUAUGUGUUUACUAGUUACUAUCUUAGCUAGGAAUGUGUGUUUUAUUACUUCUGCUGCUAAAAUUGAUAUUGUGAUUAUACUCUUGUGAAACAAAUGGUCUGAUGAAUGUUUUAUCCAAAUUUUUCCAAAGGGGGAGUUUGUUGGUUCUAUGUGUUGGCAUCAAUUUUGGUAAAAC